rnacentral:rRNA from 1 species
UACAGAGACUGCAAGCGUUAUUCGGAUUCACUGGGCGUAAAGGGUGCGCAGGCGGCCAAGUGUGUGAGGCGUGAAGGCCCGGGGCUUAACCCCGGAAUUGCACCUCAAACUACAUGGCUAGAGCAUUGGAGAGGGUAGCAGAAUUCAUGGUGUAGCAGUGAAAUGCGUAGAUAUCAUGAGGAAUACCAGAGGCGAAGGCGGCUACCUGGACAAUUGCUGACGCUCAGGCACGAAAGCGUGGGGAGCAAAAGGG